UUCUUCAUCCAUUUUUAUGUCUGAAUUUUUAUGUCUGAACCCGUUGUACGGAUGUACUCCACUGUGUUUAUCCAUCUGCUGGUGGACACUUGAGUUCUGUCUUUCCUGCCACUGGCUUUUUUGAGACCCAAGAGUGUGUUUCUCCUUGAAGAUACAGGACACAUUUUCCUUGAUCAGGAUUCAAACUCUGUCCUGGGGACAUUUCAGGUCUGGAGGAGGGAGGGGCCGGGUGAGGCGGAACAGCUGUGGAUACGGAUGGAGCCUCACAGGUGGCCGGCCCACACCUGCCAGUGGCUAACACAGACUCUGGGUCAUUCCCUGCACUCCGACCUGGGCUAACUCCACACCCUCUCCGGAACUCAGUUUCCUCGCGAAUGCCUCCACGUGGACUGCUGCAAGGACCAAAUGAGAUGUGCAGGUAGAGCACUUUGCCCAGCGCCCGGUCCGUGAUGAGCACACAGCGCUGGGACGUCCUGCAGCUGGCACCUUCCACCCGGCACCAUCUGCGUCCCUCUGCCUGUGGCUUUCCUGGAAGCUCUGAUGGUGCCCAUGGCACAAUAGACAGGGACAUACAGCCACCCCUAUUCCAACAGCCUCCCGCCAACCACGUGUGAACACCAGCCCCCUCACACUUGGGUCUGGGUAUCCAGGUCUCAUCAGUUGCAUGCAGAAAAUGCUAAUUCUGUGGGCUGGCCCAGGGGGCUGACAACGGCACGCUCUGAAUCUGUGAUGAAGCCAUCCCGCCUUUGAUGGAAACAGAAGAUGAAACGUGGCUCAGCGCAUCCCGGGGAGACGGGGCCCGGCAUGCAAUAUUUAAACGGCCCUUUCAUGAAAGGGAGCUACCCAGGCUCUUAACAUCGGUGUUCAAGAAAGUCAGACUCGAUUUUUAGCCUCAGACUGAUGUUUGGGUGCACUUCGUGUUUUAAAUACUCAUUUCUGUGGCCUUGAUAUAUUAAUCCAUCUCCUUUCAAGUUU